GCAGAACACACACACUCUUCAUCAUCACACAAGACUAAACUACAACUAUGAACAACAUCUGCAUCUUCAUCUGGACCAUUGCACUGUUUAUUCAAGAGUGUAGAGGACAGAUCACUGUAACUCAGAGUCCAUCAAUAUCAGCAGUUCAACCAGGAGAACAAGUCAGAAUAAACUGUAAAACCAGCAGUAAUGUGAAUGAUGGUUAUCGUAUGGCCUGGUACUCACAGAAACCUGGAGAAGCUCCUAAACUCCUCAUAUAUUAUGCAUCAAAUCGUAAUACUGGAACUCCAUCUAGAUUCAGUGGCAGUGGAUCUGGCAGUGAUUUUACUCUGAGCAUCAGUGGAGUCCAGACUGAAGAUACAGGAGAUUAUUACUGUCAGAGUGUUCACUGUCCUAGUAGCUGUGUGUUCACACAGUGAUAAAGAGUCGUACAAAAACCUCUGUCAGUCAGACGUCACAGUGACUGCACUGAUACAGCUGAGAGAAACUGCAGCUGCUGAUGGAGGAUCACACACUACACAAUAUCAAACCUUUCACACACUU